AAAAGGCAUGGCACCCAGUUCUGGAGAAUGAGAUAUGAGAAGACAUCUGGCAAAUGAGCUAUGCUUUCUGAAAAAGGAUUUUUGUUUUGAAAGAAAGGCACAGAAGGAAAAAAACUUGUUUCCUGCCUCUGGACAUAGUUUGCUGAGGAGGAUUGCAGCCAUCUUAAGACCAAGAGGUGCUACAGGAGGGCAAAACUGAGCCAUUGGAGAGCAAACUGAUUGAAGCAUAUUCAACGUCUGACCCCAAAAGACCUCCGGAAGAAAUAACUACAUCAUUUUUUGUUGAUGGUUGACAUGGACAGUAGUUCAUCUUAAGUAAACAAGAAAAUGGAGGAGAUGAAUUUAGAGCUGCAGAAUUUAUCUACUUACUGGAGAAUCCAAAUGUCUGAAGCAAAAUGAAAACGAGAUGUCACCAUAAGUCCUGCUCUACCACUUCCUGAAGGCCUUACAAUGGACUUUUUCCGAA